rnacentral:rRNA from 1 species
GAUGAACGCUGGCGGCGUGCUUAACACAUGCAAGUCGAACGAUGAAGCCCAGCUUGCUGGGUGGAUUAGUGGCGAACGGGUGAGUAACACGUGAGUAACAUGCCCUUUACUCUGGGAUAAGCCUGGGAAACUGGGUCUAAUACCGGAUAGGAGCGUCCACCGCAUGGUGGGUGUUGGAAAGAUUUAUCGGUUUUGGAUGGACUCGCGGCCUAUCAGCUUGUUUGUGAGGGAAUGGCUCACCAAGGCGACGACGGGUAGCCGGCCUGAGAGGGUGACCGGCCACACUGGGACUGAGACACGGCCCAGACUCCUACGGGAGGCAGCAGUGGGGAAUAUUGCACAAUGGGCGCAAGCCUGAUGCAGCGACGCCGCGUGAGGGAUGACGGCCUUCGGGUUGUAAACCUCUUUCAGUAGGGAAGAAGCGAAAGUGACGGUACCUGCAGAAGAAGCACCGGCUAACUACGUG